AUUGAACGCUGGCGGCAGGCCUAACACAUGCAAGUCGAACGAGUGGCGGACGGGUGAGUAAUGUCUGGGAAACUGCCCGAUGGAGGGGGAUAACUAAUGGAAACGGUAGCUAAUACCGCAUACCAUCGGAUGUGCCCAGAUGGGAUUAGCUAGUAGGUGGGGUAACGGCUCACCUAGGCGACGAUCCCUAGCUGGUCGGAGAGGAUGACCAGCCAAACUGGAACUGAGACACGGUCCAGAUGCCUACCGUAGGCAGCAGGGGGGAAUAUUGCACAAUGGGCGCAAGCCUGAUGCAGCCAUGCCGCGUGUUUGAAGAAGGUCUUCGGGUGGUAAAGUACUUUCAGCGAGGAGGCGUGACUCGCAGAAGAAGCACGGGCUAACUCCGUGCCAGCAGCCGCGGUAAUAC
rnacentral:rRNA from 1 species